rnacentral:tmRNA from 1 species
GGGGGUGAUUUGGCUUCGACGCUGGUUACAAACCCUGAGGUGCAUGUCGAGAGGGUAACGUAUCUCGUAAAUCCCGCGUUACUACUAAAUAGUCGCAAACGACGAAAACUACGCUCUAGCCGCUUAAUGGCUGCCUUUGAAGGAAGUUGCCUGUAACUUCUGGACAAGGUUUAUGAGCCCGCGAAACAGGCUCGCAGCAAAGUCCGCCUUAGACCGCGCUGCUAAAUAUUUUAAGGCUCGCGUAUAACAAUCCUGUUCGUUGGAGUGUUACACGUUAAAUAAAAAGACGAAACUAAGCAUGUAGAUCCGAUGGCAGAGGACUGACGGACGCGGGUUCAAUUCCCGCCACCUCCACCA